UGUUCUAACGCUGUGGAAAACGUCACUCUGAGCCGCAGUGCUCACUGAGGCACAGCUUGUUGUUCAGAGUCAGUUGGAGUGGCUCGCGUCUCUGGCAGGUGGCCAGCAGCGGUCACGGAAAACCGAGGGCAAGUCGAGCUGAAAAGCGACGACACACCGACGACGGCCGGCUGUGAGAGGAAAACAAUCAAACUGAUUUCUCCGACGCCGCUCGGUCAAAAGUGAAAUCAUCUGAUCAAAAACUGGAGUGAAAACUGGAGAGGGAGAGAUGGGGACACCAGAGCUGAAUGGCUGGUCUUUGCCAUUUGCCACAGGACCUGAAAUGAUCCCAGUGCUUGUUGACAUGCACCCUGCUAUGGCUGUCCGUUUCUUCAGGGCAGUCAGGUCAUCUUGGCACCAAGCCUUGCUUCUUCAAACCUCAAAAACCUGUUACUGCGGAGCUCUAAGCCUGGCUGAAAUCCCUGCGUGGCAUGCUGUGGCCCCUGAGCCAACAUCGGCCGUCCAGCCAGCCAAUACACUGAAGUUACUGUACCAUGAGGGGUUCAAUAUUAUCACAAUGAAGAACAGAUCUGAGUGUUUCACAAGGAUGCAAAAGCUCCCUGAGCAGGCGCUGGUUGUUGAGAACCUGGCAGAGUUUGGAGGUGGCACCUGGAGUGUUGAGGCAUCAUACAGUUUUGAAGAAUAGACUGGCACAGGGGCUGGCAUCAGUGCUGGCAGUGCCGUCUUUAAAAACAAUUAGGCCUUUGACAUUCGGCAGAUAGCAGCUGUAGGAUCAACUCUGGCAAAGACAGAGAGGACGGAAGCCAAAUGACUUACCACCCCAAUCAACUCACUCUUUUGGAGAUGAUGAUGAGAGGAGAAGGGGGGGCUUUGAUUUGUUUGUAUAUUACGGAGCCCCUAAAGUACCAAAAGAUAAUAUUUUUCUUUAUUUUAUGCUCACAAGAUAUGAAUCUCUGGAUGGUUCUGAAGUUCUUCAUCUUGUACACAGAGAAUUAUGAUCUUUCAGGACUUCGAGGUCUCCAUAGUAAGACUCCCUCGAUUGUUUUGGCUGGGUCAGGAAAAAAAUAACAUCAUCUGCGUACAUACAACCUUGUGACUAUCACUGGCUAUAGUGACACCUUGUUUAUUUGCAUCUAGGAGUGCAAGAACAAAUAGACGAGGGGCAAGAGCAGCAAUUUGAGUAUUUCAAGUAAUAUUUCUGCCUUUAUCGAUAGUAGGCUAUUGUAGAUAAUGGUGGUUAAUCAUGCAAUCAUGAGCUUGGUUACUUUGGACACAUUACAUUUCAAGCCUGAAUCCAUCAAUGUGUGAGCCUAGAUGCUGCUAGCAUCACUUAUAUCAGAACUGGAGAGUAUUUAUUCAUUCAAAGAAGAAAAAAACCUUCACUUUCAUUACGACAGAGAGACCUUUGAUAUUCCUGGAAUCUCUCCUGAACCUCCGCACAGUCUGCUGGACAUCUGUUCUCCCUCCAUACACAUUCCUACAUUUCCCACUCUUUGCUUCCAUUGUUCUUUUUUAUAAACACCAUGUCACCGACCUGGCUUCUCCCUUUACAUGUGAGUGUCUCUGGAGAGAGAUUUUGAUCAUUGCAUUUCUUUAGAACACAAGUGCAUCUGGAGAAAAACAGUUUCAGGAUUUCCUGUACUGUGAUUUUUGUCUGUCACCACUAGAUGUCAGAACUUACACAUUAUUUAAGUCUUUCAUCUUCUCCCCUUGUCUUCUGCUUUCCCUCUUUUUCUAGUCUCCCUCUGGAGAUUUCUGUUUUAUUGCCUCUUCUCACCUCCUGUCCCCUCACCCUGCCCUCUCGUUGUCCUAUUAAAUUCUCGGUGAGUGAC